rnacentral:rRNA from 1 species
GACGAACGCUGGCGGCGUGCUUAACACAUGCAAGUCGAACGGAAAGGCCCUGCUUUUGUGGGGUGCUCGAGUGGCGAACGGGUGAGUAACACGUGAGUAACCUGCCCUUGACUUUGGGAUAACUUCAGGAAACUGGGGCUAAUACCGGAUAGGAGCUCCUGCUGCAUGGUGGGGGUUGGAAAGUUUCGGCGGUUGGGGAUGGACUCGCGGCUUAUCAGCUUGUUGGUGGGGUAGUGGCUUACCAAGGCUUUGACGGGUAGCCGGCCUGAGAGGGUUACCGGCCACAUUGGGACUGAGAUACGGCCCAGACUCCUACGGGAGGCAGCAGUGGGGAAUAUUGCACAAUGGGCAGAAGCCUGAUGCAGCAACGCCGCGUGCGGGAUGACGGCCUUCGGGUUGUAAACCGCUUUCGCCUGUGACGAAGCGUGAGUGACGGUAAUGGGUAAAGAAGCACCGGCUAACUACGUG